UACAGAGGGGGCAAGCGUUGUUCGGAAUUACUGGGCGUAAAGGGCGCGUAGGCGGCCUGCUAAGUCGAACGUGAAAUCCCCGAGCUCAACUCGGGAACUGCGUCCGAUACUGGUUGGCUUGAAUCCGGGAGAGGGAUGCGGAAUUCCAGGUGUAGCGGUGAAAUGCGUAGAUAUCUGGAGGAACACCGGUGGCGAAGGCGGCAUCCUGGACCGGCAUUGACGCUGAGGCGCGAAAGCCAGGGGAGCAAAGCGGG
rnacentral:rRNA from 1 species